GAUGAAGAACGCAGCGAAUUGCGAUAAGUAAUGUGAAUUGCAGAAUUCAGUGAAUCAUCGAAUCUUUGAACGCAGCUUGCGCUCUCUGGUAUUCCGGAGAGCAUGCCUGUUUCAGUGUCAUGAAAUCUCAACCACUAGGGUUUCCUGAUGGAUUGGAUUUGGGCGUCUGCGAUUUCUGAUCGCUCGCCUUAAAAGAGUUAGCAAGUUUGACAUUAAUGUCUGGUGUAAUAAGUUUCACUGGGUCCAUUGUGUUGAAGCGUGCUUCUAAUCGUCCGCAAGGACAAUUACUUUGACUCUGGCCUGAAAUCAGGUAGGACUACCCGCUGAACUUAAGCAUAUCAAUAAGCGGAGGA
rnacentral:misc_RNA from 1 species